rnacentral:rRNA from 1 species
AACGAACGCUGGCGGCAUGCCUAACACAUGCAAGUCGAACGAAGGCUUCGGCCUUAGUGGCGCACGGGUGCGUAACGCGUGGGAAUCUGCCCUUUGGUUCGGAAUAACAGCUGGAAACGGCUGCUAAUACCGGAUGAUGACGAAAGUCCAAAGAUUUAUCGCCAGAGGAUGAGCCCGCGUUGGAUUAGGUAGUUGGUGGGGUAAAGGCCUACCAAGCCGACGACCCAUAGCUGGUCUGAGAGGAUGAUCAGCCACACUGGGACUGAGACACGGCCCAGACUCCUACGGGAGGCAGCAGUGGGGAAUAUUGGACAAUGGGCGCAAGCCUGAUCCAGCAAUGCCGCGUGAGUGAUGAAGGCCCUAGGGUUGUAAAGCUCUUUUACCCGGGAAGAUAAUGACUGUACCGGGAGAAUAAGCCCCGGCUAACUCCGUG